UACAUGUGGGGCAAGCGUUGUUCGGAAUCACUGGGCAUAAAGGGUGCGUAGGCGGCAUGCUAAGUCAGGGGUGAAAUCCGGUGGCCCAACCAUCGAACUGCCUCUGAUACUGGCGCGCUUGAGUGCGUGAUGGGUGGCCAGAACGAGUAGUGUAGCGGUGAAAUGCGUAGAUAUUACUCGGAACACCAAAGGCGAAGGCAGGCCACUGGUACGUAACUGACGCUGAGGCACGAAAGCGUGGGGAG
rnacentral:rRNA from 1 species